rnacentral:rRNA from 1 species
UGACAUCCUUUGACCACUCUAGAGAUAGAGCUUCCCCUUCGGGGGCAAAGUGACAGGUGGUGCAUGGUUGUCGUCAGCUCGUGUCGUGAGAUGUUGGGUUAAGUCCCGCAACGAGCGCAACCCUUAUUGUUAGUUGCCAUCAUUUAGUUGGGCACUCUAGCGAGACUGCCGGUGACAAACCGGAGGAAGGUGGGGAUGACGUCAAAUCAUCAUGCCCCUUAUGACCUGGGCUACACACGUGCUACAAUGGGAAGUACAACGAGUUGCGAAGUCGCGAGGCUAAGCUAAUCUCUUAAAGCUUCUCUCAGUUCGGAUUGUAGGCUGCAACUCGCCUACAUGAAGCCGGAAUCGCUAGUAAUCGCGGAUCAGCACGCCGCGGUGAAUACGUUCCCGGGCCUUGUACACACCGCCCGUCACACCACGAGAGUUUGUAACACCCGAAGCCGGUGAGGUAACCUUU